AUGUUGCUCGCUCGUUUGCAGCUGAAGGUUGAGGAGAAUGCUGAGUCUUACGAGGACGAGCGCAUGAGGUACAUUUUCCUGAUGAAUAAUGCAAUGCAUGUGCUUAAAGGCUCAGGGUCUCCCGAUUUGAGUAUGUCCAUGGGGAACGACAACCACCAACUGCUUGUCACACGGGUGGAACAGUAUGCGACAGCUUACCUUCGAGCAUCAUGGACUGGAGCUCUGCUUCAGUUGAGUGAUCACGGUGUGUAUAAAUAUUCUGUGAAUUUCAGUCCAGGAUUUGUCUCUGAAUGGAUGAGAAAAAGCAUGAAGAAUUUCAAUUCGAUAUUCGGAGAAAUAAGCAGGGUCCAAACGACAUGGAAAGUGCCCAACCCUCAACUUAGACAACACUUACGGUUAAUUAUAUUGCAGCAAGUUCUUAGCGCUUAUCGCACACAUUUAGGAAGGUAUGGCUGCUAUCUGGGGAAAAAUCCAAGCAAGUACGUAAAGUACACUCCUGACGACAUAGAGAAUCAUGUUUUGGACCUGUUCGAAGGUUAA
rnacentral:rRNA from 1 species